GAGAUAAUAGUAUAGUUUUAGUAUAUUUCUUUUUCGAAGAAAAGGCUACCCUAUCUUA
rnacentral:tRNA from 1 species